UCCUAUCUGGUUGAUCCUGCCAGUAGUCAUAUGCUUGUCUCAAAGAUUAAGCCAUGCAUGUCUCAGUACAGGCCGAACUAAGGCGAAACCGCGGAUGGCUCAUUAAAUCAGUCAUGAUUUACUGGAUGUUGUAAAACCCACUACUUGGAUAACUGUGGUAAUUCUAGAGCUAAUACAUGCAACCGAGCUCCGACCCUGACCUCCUCUUCUCGUAAAAAAGAAAGGGGGGCGGGGGAAGGGCGCAUUUAUUAGAUCACAAAACCGGUCGGACUUCGGUCCGUAAAACAAAACCCUACUAAAACAAUUUCUUGUGAUGACUCUGAAUAACCCACAGCCGAGCGCUAAGGUCUUCGCACCGGCGCCGUAUCCUUCAAGUGUCUGCCUUAUCAGCUUUCGAUUGUAGGUUAUUCGUCUACAAUGGCUGUAACGGGUAACGGGGAAUCAGGGUUCGAUUCCGGAGAGGGAGCCUGAGAAACGGCUACCACAUCUAAGGAAGGCAGCAGGCACGCAAAUUACCCACUCCCGGCUCGGGGAGGUAGUGAAGAAAAAUAACGAUGCGGGACUCUUCCGAGGCCUCGCAAUCGGAAUGAGUUUACUUUAAAUCCUUGGACGAGGAUCCAUUGGAGGGCAAGUCUGGUGCCAGCAGCCGCGGUAAUUCCAGCUCCAAUAGCGUAUAUUAAAUUUGCUGCGGUUAAAAGCUCGUAGUUGAGUUUCAAGUUCGGCCCGGAAGUCCACCCUAGGCGCGUCUCGGGUCCCCCGUCAAGCGCGGUCGGUUCCUUCCCGCGUCCCUUUUUGCGGAUGGGAAAAAUAAUAAAAUGUGAGAACCAUCGUUUUCUUUACCCCCUUCUCCGUGAGACAGUAGCACCUACAAAUUUAUUAACCCGCCACUUAAUAGGGGGCCUCCUAUCCCAAACCUCCGGCGGUGUUCAAAUUCGCUCGCCGUGGGGGCGACUGGGCUCUCAUGGUUGGUUUUAUGGCGGACGUGACGUGAGGCGGCUCCGGAGUUUGUGGUUGUGUGGAGAGAUUUUUAAAGUCGGCCCAUUCCAGUUGGACCUCCCGUCGUCGAGCGGAGUAUAUUAACGGGUUUCGGAAUACGAGGGCGCGCGCGUCGCGUUGGGAGUUGCGGCUCGUCCGCAUCUUCCCAACCGCGCGCGCGUUCCCCGUCCCUUCCGACUCUUGGUUCCGUCUCGCUUCGGGGUAAAAUAGGCCUUUCUCGGUUUGAACCGACCUUCUCUCCUCCGCCCUUACUCCGUCCACUCGUUCAAAAAGCCCCGCGUCUUUCGCUUCCUUCCUUGAUCCCUUCGCACGCUUCCCGGCAUCAUGGGCGCUUUUGUAUCGCCGUUUGCGGAGGGGGAAAGUCCUCGAUAAAGAGGAGGCUCUGGUGAUGCGCAGGUGCGAGAGUUUUACAAAAAAGCGGAGUCGCGGGGGGCGAUUUUUCGAACAAAUAAAAUUUUCCCACUCCCUUAGGGGCCGCUUAUACGGGAAGGUUUUUAAAAACCGUUUCCCCCGACGGGUGGCGAAGAGCGCGCGCUCGGGUGGUUCUCUAUCCGACGCCGAAUUACCUAAAAGCCGUCGGCCUUCUCGGGGUGCUCUUCGCCGAGUGUCCCGCGAUGCCGACACCUUCACUUUGAAAAAAUUAGAGUGCUCGAAGCAGGCAAAUAAUCCAAACUACGCCUGAAUGGUAACGCAUGGAAUGAUGGAACAGGACCUCGGUUCUGCCAUUUUUUAUCGGUUUUGUUUAACCCGAGGUAAUGAUUAAAGGGAACUGACGGGGGCAUUAGUAUUGCGGCGCUAGAGGUGAAAUUCUUGGACCGUCGCAAGACUAACUACUGCGAAAGCAUUUGCCAAGAAUGUUUUCAUUAAUCAAGAACGAAAGUUAGAGGAUCGAAGGCGAUCAGAUACCGCCCUAGUUCUAACCCUAAACGAUGCUAACUGGCGAUCCGCUUGAGUCAUACCCACGACUGAGCGGGAAUCCCCCGGGAAACCAAAGUUUUUGAGUUCCGGGGGAAGUAUGGUUGCAAAAUCGAAACUUAAAGGAAUUGACGGAAGGGCACCACCAGGAGUGGAGCCUGCGGCUUAAUUUGACUCAACACGGGGAACCUCACCAGGCCCGGACACUGGAAGGAUUGACAGAUUGAGAGCUCUUUCUCGAUUCAGUGGUUGGUGGUGCAUGGCCGUUCUUAGUUGGUGGAGCGAUCUGUCUGGUUGAUUCCGAUAACGAACGAGACUCUACCCUACUAACUAGUCGGGGGAUCGUCUCCCGAGGCGGGUAAAUCUAACUUUUGCUCGGAUGUCCUCGCGGUCGAUUCGCGAGCGGUUUACAGGGGGCGUGGUCCUCGCCGUCCGCCACUCUCUUUCGGUCGUUUCGUCCCCUCUCUCUCUCCGUCCGCUAUUUACCUUCUCACACUCACCCAGUUUGGCGCGUCGUCUUAACCCCUUCGUCGGCGCGGGAUCCCUCUCGUCGCUUUUUCCCCGUCGUGCGUUUUUCGACGCUCUUCCCUCGUAAAAAGGGGUUGAGGCCGAUUCGUUACGCGCGUGCGGGGUUGGGCGGCGAUGGCCCGCUAACCGUGCGUUGGGGUCCUAGGCGUUAUGUUCAGAUCGGGAUCGGGUGCGCAGGAGUAGUAUUGGCGGCGGCAGUAGUUGGAAGGGCGGGCGUCGGGAGAGGGCGCGGCGGUUCCGGGGCUGCGUCUUCGCCGUCACGCUGUCGUCGCGGGCUCCGAGCGGGGACUACCCAGCGAGGGGGCGUCCGUCGCAACUUCCUCUUAGAGGAAUCGGCGGCGUCUAGCCUCACGAGAUAGAGCAAUAACAGGUCUGUGAUGCCCUUAGAUGUUCUGGGCCGCACGCGCGCUACAAUGCAGGGCUCAGCGUGCUCCCCCCCUCCGAAAGGAGCGGGGUAACCCCAUGAAACCCCUUCCCGAUUGGGAUUGGGGAUUGUAAGUGUUUCCCAUGAACGAGGAAUUCCCAGUAAGCGCUCGUCAUGCAGCGAGCGUUGAUUACGUCCCUGCCCUUUGUACACACCGCCCGUCGCUACUACCGAUUGAGUGAUUCAGUGAGGGCAUCGGACUGGCGCGCCUCGAUAAACUUCGGUUCGGCGCUAGUGCGGUAAAAAACGUGCGUAUUUCCUUUCCCUUCGCGGAGGAGUACCCGUCGUCUAGCCGCCGUCCUUAGGCAAUUCCCCGGGCUGACGGAAAGGUGUCCGAACUUGAUCACUUAGAGGAAGUAAAAGUCGUAACAAGGUUUCCGUAGGUGAACCUGCGGAAGGAUCAUUA
rnacentral:rRNA from 1 species